UACGUAGGGAGCAAGCGUUGUCCGGAUUCACUGGGUGUAAAGGGUGCGUAGGCGGGUAGGUAAGUCCGCGGUGAAAUCUCACAGCUCAACUGUGAAACUGCCGUUGAUACUGCUUUUCUUGAGUUCGGGAGAGGUUGAUGGAAUUCCAGGUGUAGCGGUGAAAUGCGUAGAUAUCUGGAAGAACACCAGUGGCGAAGGCGGUCAACUGGCCCGUAACUGACGCUGAGGCACGAAAGCGUGGGUAGCGAACAGG
rnacentral:rRNA from 1 species